GUUGGCUUGGAAGCAGCCAUUCAUUUAAAGAGUGCGUAACAGCUCACUAGUCGAGGAGUUUGGCGUGGAUAAUAAUCGGGCAUAAGUAUUCUACCGAAGCUUUGGGAUGAGAAAUCAUCGGUAGGGGAGCAUUCCACUCGGCGUCGAAGGUGAGGCGUGAGCCUUGCUGGAGCGUGUGGAAAAGCAAAUGUAGGUAUAAGUAACGAUAAGGCAGGCGAGAAACCUGCCCGCCGAAAGACUAAGGUUUCCUGAUCAACGCUAAUCGGAUCAGGGUAAGUCGGGUCCUAAGGCUCAGCCGAACGGCGAGGCCGAUGGCAGAACCGGUUAAUAUUCCGGUACUACCUGUGGGAGUGACGUGGAGACGGAGUCGUGACAGCGCCGCGGACUGACGGAAUAGUCCGUUGAAGGGUGUAGAUGCUGAUUGUUCCAGGCAAAUCCGGAGCAAGAGUCGAACCUGAUAGUAUGGAGCGUUCUUAGAACAAUCCAAUAGUGCGUGUAAUCAUACUUCCAAGAAAAUCCGCUAAACUUAAUCCUGCAGGUACCCGUACCGCAAACGGACACACGUAGUCGGGUUGAAUAUACUAAGGCGCUUGAGUGAUUCACGGUUAAGGAACUAGGCAAACUGACCCUGUAACUUCGGGAUAAAGGGUCCUCGCUUAACGGCGAGGCGCAGAGAAUAGGUCCAGGCAACUGUUUAACAAAAACACAGGGCUGUGCAAAAUUGAAAGAUGAAGUAUACAGCCUGACACCUGCCCGGUGCUGGAAGGUUAAGAGGAGAUGUCAUCGCAAGAGAAGCAUUGAAUUGAAGCCCCAGUAAACGGCGGCCGUAACUAUAACGGUCCUAAGGUAGCGAAAUUCCUUGUCGGGUAAGUUCCGACCUGCACGAAUGGUGUAAUGAUCUGGACGCUGUCUCAACCGUGAGCUCAGUGAAAUUGUAGUAUCGGUGAAGAUGCCGAUUACCCGCGAUGGGACGAAAAGACCCCGUGAACCUUUACUAUAGCUUAUCAUUGAAUCUGGGCACGUGAUGUGUAGGAUAGGUCGGAGGCUUUGAAGCAGGUACGCCAGUAUUUGUGGAGCCGCUGUUGAAAUACGACCCUUUAUUUGUUUGGAUUCUAACCCGUGGAACGGGGACAUUGAUUGGUGGGUAGUUUGACUGGGGUGGUCGCCUCCAAAAGCGUAACGGAGGCUUCUAAAGGUGCCCUCACGACGAUUGGUAACCGUCGGCAGAGUG
rnacentral:rRNA from 1 species